UAUGAUCCAAUAAUCUAAAUUAUUUUAAAGUUCAAAUAGGCCCUUAUAUGUUAUUAUUUGAAUUUAUCUGACUAGGUGCGGCGCGACUAGGAUAUGAAUUUUAAUUGUAUUACUCAAGUUAGCAUUCAAGUUGAAGUUCAAGUUCAAGUUAAAUUUCCAGUUUCAGGUGAUUGAUAUCGGAGGCGCGUGGAGAGUCGAAUGGGCGCGUCGAAUCUAUUUAAAGAUAAAUGUUUCCUAAAACAUAUUAUGUUAUUUCAUGUGAUAUCUCUUGAUUAUGUAAACUCUGAAAUUCUAUACUAUUUGAGAUUUGUGUGUGAUUUGUUUAAAUAAAUGUUAUUAUAUUAUUUUAAUGUCA